AACGCACGAGACCUGCGGACCUGCGGAAGGAUCAUUACAGAGUUGCAAAACUCCCAAACCAUUGUGAACGUUACCUUCUCGUUGCUUCGGCGGGCGGCCCGGGUCCUUCCCGGCGCCCCCCGGCCCCUCGCGGGCGCCCGCCGGAGGUAAACCAAACUCUUGAAUUGUAUGGCCUCUCUGAGUCUUCUGUACUGAAUAAGUCAAAACUUUUAGCAACGGAUCUCUAGAUCGGAAGAGCAC
rnacentral:misc_RNA from 1 species